rnacentral:lncRNA from 1 species
GGAUCCAUUGGGGUUGACCACAGACCGAUCGUGAUGUUUGUGAUUAGAUUUGAAUGGAUUUAAACCCUUAGCCUUACGAGGACGUCAGGGCUUGAACAGAGGGAGUAUAUGAGGACCCGUGUGGGCGUGUGUUUAGUCCUACAUCGGUUAUUUGCUGGAUAGAUCUUGGAUACUUAUACAGGAUCAAGAAAUCCAAACAAUAACUUCCGGCUAGCCAUUUUGGGUGAGAUCCUAGGUUGUUACAGUUAUACAUGACAACUUUGAUCCGUCGAAGGGUGCAAAUGGCUAAAGUUAGAGCAUCAGAUGGAUUCAACUGAUACAUAAAAUAGAUUUGCACAUUAUAUGUUACAUCGGACUCCUCUGUUUUUGUUUGAUGUAGAUACCCUUUCUGUAGUUUUGAUCAUACCUAGCAACUACUGAAAUAUUGAAAAUACAUAAUAUUCCAUCCUCGCAAGGUUUGUUUUCGUUUUUCUAAAAACUUGAGCAUGGAAAUAGUGUUGUCUUUCAUCUUGCAUUGGAUUG